CUUGAUUGACAGCCAUAGAUAUCCGUGUUCAUUGUAUCGACCAUCCAUCUUAUUUGAAAAAUUUAUAAAAAAUAUUAAAAAAUUAGUCACAUAUAAAGUACUAUUCAUGUUUUAUCAUCUAAUAACAACAAAAGUAGUAAUCAUAAAAAAAUUUUAAAUAAGACGAACGGUCAAACGUUGAAUAUGAACAGUGCUAAAACUGCAUUUAUU
rfam:Oryza rufipogon genomic scaffold, chr03